rnacentral:lncRNA from 1 species
GUUUUUAUUUAUCAGGAAGUUUCUUUACUUUUGAGCAAAAUGCUUUUUAAAUAUAAAAAUUCUAUGUUUUUAAUUCUUCUUUUUUGAACAUUAAAGAUGUCCUACUGUCUUCAGUUCUACUUUUUAUAGCUGUAUUCCUGUGUGUUAUGCAUCUUUUUUCUCUGGCUAAUUUUAACAUUGUCGCCAUAGCUUUAUGGUUUAGCAGUUUGACUUUUCUCUUCUCUUAGGAAUGGUUUCCUCUCUAUUUAUCUUGCUUGUGUUCUGCUGGGUUUCUAAAUUCUGUGAAUACUAUCUAUUUACAGUAUGAAAAACUUUGACUACUAUAUUGUUUGUAUUUUGACUGCCCUUUUCUUAUUUUUAUUUUCUUCUAGGACUCCAGUUAUACAUAUUUCAGGAAGCUUAAUACAAUCCCAGAGAUACCUGGAAUGA